rnacentral:rRNA from 1 species
GAGUUCGAUCAUGGCUCAGGAUGAACGCUAGCUACAGGCUUAACACAUGCAAGUCGAGGGGUUGCCAGAGGAAAGCUUGCUUUCCUUGUCGGCGACCGGCGCACGGGUGAGUAACGCGUAUCCAACCUUCCCCUUAGUAGGGCAUAGCCCGGCGAAAGUCGGAUUAAUACCCUAUGUUUUCCAAUGAGGACAUCUGAGCUGGAACAAAGAUUUAUCGCUAAGGGAUGGGGAUGCGUCUGAUUAGGUAGUCGGCGGGGUAACGGCCCACCGAGCCUACGAUCAGUAGGGGUUCUGAGAGGAAGGUCCCCCACAUUGGUACUGAGCCAGGAUCAAACUC